rnacentral:snoRNA from 1 species
UCAAAAUGAUGAUGAAUUGAAAUCUGUCAAUCCACUGAAAUCACUAUGUUGUAUUUUCAAUCCCAACAGGUUCUGAUUGA